rnacentral:tRNA from 3 species
GACCCCGUAGCUCAGCCGGAUAGAGCAACUGCCUUCUAAGCAGUAGGUCGCAGGUUCGAAUCCUGCCGGGGUCGCCA